GGGCGCGUAGCUCAGUUGGUAGAGCAACUGACUCUUAAUCAGUGGGUCGGGAGUUCGAGCCUCCCCGCGCCCACCA
rnacentral:tRNA from 1 species